AUGCAUCAAAUUUGUCAAUAUCAAUCAAGUUAAGCUCAAUGUCUUUGUUUUAAUCUUUGUUUAGUGUCUAAACUUUAAGUUGGUUUGCAAUGUGGGCAUGUAGCUUUACUUUUAAAUGUCAGCUUGGUGGUUGUGCUGUAAAGCUGCAAUAUAAGAUGUGGCCAGAACAUUAGUUCAAAGUGUGUGUGAAGCAGCCACAGUGAAGAUGUCAUGAUCAAGAUCUCCAUCUGUUGUGUUUCAGUCAUCUACUGAAAUGUGCAUGCUCACCAGCCAACACCGACCUGUCCUGUGUUGUAAUGCCACUUUUUGACACUAGACGCUGGGUGAGUCAGUGGCGCAUCAAGUCUGCUCUCAGUCCCACGAAGAGCAACUUCCGGCAGCGCUUGAAGUUAGCAUCACAGAAACACAGGAAUGGCUGAACCUCCUCAGAUAAUAUUCAUCUGCACCCCGAAGGACCGCUCCCGACAAUAAACCACGUUCAACGGCAAAGAAAAGAAGCAACACAAGAAUCUCGAUGUGGCUUUCCACCACCGGAGACAGCUCCUGAGAGGAAAGAGAUGCGGUUUGAUGCCGAGCUCGCAACUUUCCUGUUAGCCUGGAGAUUUCAUCAUACCUCUGUCUUUAUCACGACCUGAGCCAGUAGAGAUGCAAUACCGCCUCCACCUGUCUCACCAACGGCAGAGAGUCCAGACACUAUGAGGAGGUUCUAGAAGUCCAGUCUAAUCACCAAUGAUGGUCCAGCACCUGCCUUUUCUUCUGCAUCUGGCCUCAAUCAACAACCACAUUACAUCAACACCUUGAGGGAUGGCAGAAUCCACCUCAGGCAAGAACCACACGUUGCAGAACCCAGCAAGAAAUGGUAAGUCAUGCACAUGACUCCACCCCAUACGUGUAUAGAAGUUCAAAUUAGGGUCAAAAUGACUGAGCUUGUAAAGUGACCUUAACUAAUAAUUCCAAUGUUUGUAGUUGUAAAUCAACAUUUGUUAACCUUUAAAAUAAAUCUGUAUGACAAAUUCAAGUUUCUGCAUGUGUAGAAGAGGUUUGUAUUAAAGUCUGAAUGUAAAUUAUGAACAAAUGAUCAGUGGUGAAGUUAAACCAAAACGUGUAAAAGGAAGAAAUGGUCUUGUCAACAUCUGUGUCCUGACACAGAAGAAAACUGUAAAACGCUGUUCCCAGUCUGACGUUACAAGGGUCAGAAUUUGCAGUUGUCGGCGUCGCACACUGGGAGUUGGGUGCUGACUUUUAUAGUUUUCUGCUGUUUUGAUUUAUUCUUGAACAAAUGCAAAUCUUGUUGCCAAACUUUUUUUUUUUCCUCUUUCCCCUCACAUGCACAAACUUGAAUUUCUCAUGCAGGUUUAAAAAGGUUGACUUGAACUAUAAAAUGAGUUAAAACGACUGUUAAAAGCAGUUUGUAUUGUGUAAUUACAUUUCCACACAGAUCAUAGUCUAACGUUUAAGAUGAGUUAAAAUAAUAUUCUGUUUAUUACAUUUAAGCUGUCAUAUUGAAUGCAUCAGAAAACAAUGUGGAUGUGAUUAUUAAUA